GGCCACAUGGCGCAAUGGCAGCGUGUCACUUUCCGGUAUUGUCUCCAAUAUCACCAGUAGGUGAAGGUUGUGGGUUCGAGUCCCACUUUGGUCG
rnacentral:tRNA from 1 species